rnacentral:rRNA from 1 species
UACGUAGGGUGCGAGCGUUAAUCGGAAUUACUGGGCGUAAAGGGCGCGUAGGCGGCACAGCAAGUCGGGAGUGAAAGCCCGGGGCUCAACCCCGGAAUGGCUUUCGAAACUGCUGAGCUAGAGUACAGAAGGGGCAACCGGAAUUCCCAGUGUAGCGGUGAAAUGCGUAGAUAUUGGGAAGAACACCUGAGGCGAAGGCGGGUUGCUGGGCUGAUACUGACGCUGAGGCGCGAAAGCCAGGGGAGCAAACGGG